rnacentral:lncRNA from 1 species
AAAACUCCGAGAAUUUCCCGAUCCGAAAAACCCCAAAACUCCGGGAAUUUCCCCAAUUCUAAAAACCCCAAAAACUCCGGGAUUGGCCCCGAUCCCAAAAACCCCAAAACUCCGGGAAUUUCCCCAAUUCUAAAAACCCCAAAAACUCCAGGAUUGACCCCGAUCCCAAAAACCCCAAAACUCUGGGAAUUCCCCAAUCCCAAAACCCCAAAACUCCGGGAAUUGCCCGGAUCCCAAAAACCCCAAAACCCCGGGAAUCUCCCCAAUCCCAAAAACCCCAAAACUCUGGGAAUUUCCCAAAUCCCAAAACCCCGGGAAUUUCCUGAUCCCAAAAACCCCAAAACUUUGGGAAUUUCCCCGAUCCCAAAAACCCCAAAACUCCGGGAAUUGCCCCGAUCCCAAAAACCCCAAAAACCCCAAAACUGCGGGAAUUUCCCAAAUCCCAAAAACCCCAAAAACCCCAAAACUUUGGGAAUUUCCCCAAUCCCAAAACCUCGGGAAUUGCCCCGAUCCCAAAAACCCCAAAACUCCGGGAAUUUUCCCCAAAACUCCGGGAAUUUCCCGAUCCCAAAAACCCCAAAACCCCGGGAAUUUCCCGAUCCCAAAAACCCCAAAACUUUGGGAAUUCCCCGAUCCCGGUUCCCAUUCCCGAUUUUCCAGACUCUGGAAUUCCUGCGGCGCUGCCGCCUCCAGGUGGGGAUGAGGAACAACCAGAGCUGGGAGCUCAACCCCGACAUCGUGGCCCGGCACUUCUUCAAGAAUGUGAGCGAAAUUUUGGGAUUUCGGGAAUUUUUUGGGAUUUUGGGAAAUUUUUGGGAUUUGGGGCUCUUUUUUUGGGGAUUUCGGGGAUUUUUUUGGGAUUUCAGGGCUCUUUUUUUGGGAUUUUGGGGCUCUUGUUUGGGAUUUUGUGGCCCAGCACUUCCUCAAGAACAUGAGCGGAUUUUGGGGAUUUUGGGAAUUUUUUGGGAUUUCUGGGCUUUUUUUGGGGGGAUUUCGGGGGUUUUUUGGGAUUUCUGGGGUUUUGCCACAUUCCCGGGCUCCAAUCCCAAGGUUUGGGGUCCUUCCCGAAGGAUUUGGGGGUUUGGAUCAGCCCCGAUCCCGGGAUUUGGGGCCAUUCUGGGAUUUGGGGUCAUUCCUUGGUUUUGGGGCCAUUUCCAGGUUUUGGGGUAA